AAAGGUUUAUCAUCAUGAAUGUAUUUGGCAGGAUGCUUGGCUUUCCUUCUACAUAUAUAUAUAUAAUAUACAUAUACUUCAGCAAUCAAUAGUAGUUCAAUCGAACAUAUUCUCAUGUUAAUAGAUUACAAGAAAUCACAAAUGAAUUUACAUUACAACAAAAUAUUUCCAAGUAUCUGAGUAGCAUCCAAGAAACAAAGGGUAUGACAGCCUCAAAGCAGUCCAAAUAUCGUGAUAUGGUGAUCAAAUAGGAUUUACAAUAUCAUUGUUUUGUUUUGAAACAAUUUCAGGACAAUGGGAACAUACUAUUAUUGUCUUCAACAAAUGAAAUUAUGCCAGGGGAAAGAAAAUGAAACAUUUCAUGCUUAACAAUUUUUUAAUUCAAUAAAACCAAACUAAAUUUAAACUGAACCAGUUUGGAAUUACUGACUAUAACUGAUAAAAACACAUAAAUAACACAAAUUACAAAUCAGAACAAUCAUAGCAAUCAAGUGAUGCCUUUUAACAAAAAAAAACUUUUGAAUCUUUAUAUAUAUAUAUAUAUGUAUAAAUGUUUUUUUCUGUUUUCAGACAAAGUAACUAUUUGUAUCACAAAUAUAAAUAUUUUCAUAGGCAUUCACAAUCCUUAUUGUAAGACUAGGCUUUCUAAAUGUAAAGAUCAGGGAGUUAGAUAUGUAGAAAACACAAAACAAAAAUAAAUUUGAGAAAAAAACAACAACUGAUACUUAGCUCUUUAGUUAUGGUAGAAGACAUUUGAGGGUUGAAUAAAGAAGGGAAGUUAUUACAAAUAAUUAGAGUUACUGUUACUUCUAGAUUACUACUACCAUAGAAACUAUUUAGAUGCUGCGACAUUCAAUAACUAUUACUGCAACAUAAGUCAACCAGACGGGGGGCAUAAAUGGGGGGCAUAAAUCUAGAACGAUUGUUACUUAUGUAAAUGCUUUAAAAUUCUUGCUUGUAGAAUUGUACAGUUAUCAUUGAAAUACAAAAUCAAGUUUCACAGAAUUCAUAAUCAGAUGAAUGCAGAAUCUCUUAAUAGAAACAAAAUCUGAUUCCAAGAAUCACUGGUUAUGUCACUGGUUAUAUAACAUCAGUUUCAGCAUUUAAUUACACAAAAACAAAUGCUCUGUCAGGGACAAAGUGAAAUAUAAUACCUACAGAACACCCUAAGACAGUAAACAUAAAACAAUGAAGAGAUUCCACAGAGCAGAGACAAAAAAUUGAACUUUGAUAGGGCAUUGUUGAAUGGUAAAGAAAGGUGACAGUUAUCACAAGAUUAAUAGUUCAAAAAAAGAAAAAAAAAAGGGAUGUAAAAAAUAAUGAUUAAAUGAAGUCUGAUGGAAUUCCUGGAGAGACAGUGUCAUAAUAGUAAUGAUGAUAGUAAUAAUAAUAAUAACAUGCUCACUGAUUCUAUCAGACUUUACUAUAGGGAAAGCUGUAAUUUUAUGUAAUUUUACAGCAUAACAAAAUUUAAAAAAAUAAGUUGAAAUAAAAACUUGUUCAGUAUCACAUACAUUUGGGUCAGGUACAGAGGGUUACAAAACACAACAACAUGGGAUGGGGCUAAAAAAAGAUAUCACUGGAGAAUGUGGCCUGGAUGUCAUUGUUCAAUUGGAUACAAUUUAAUACAACUGAAUUGUUUGUAACUAUUUGUGCUUCAAAAGCCAAAAAUAAAAAUAAGAAUAAAAAACAAAAUGAAUGACCCACUUUCUGACACAUUGAAGCAGACAUAUUAUAAAAAAAACAUAUAAUAAUCAUUUAUGGCUGAAACAUAUUCAUAUUAAUUGGAGGCGUUACUGAUGAAAUUAAAGUCAAACUUGUACAUGUAUAUUUCUUAAAUUCUUACAUUGAAACAUCAAAAAAAAAAAUCAUUGCAACGUAAUUAAAAAAAAAAAAGUACAAAAAUAAAAUGAACGGAAGCAAAAUAAAUUGCCCAUAGCCAAACAAAGAUUAAUAAAACCACUUCGCCUAAACACACUGAAGAAUUAAGCUCAUCCGCCAAAAUUAUUAGGAAAAACAGACAGACCAGAAGUGUUUUCAAUACUUAAAAAAAUUUACAAAUUAGAAAACGCAAAUCAUAAAUAUCAUAGACAAUUCAAUUUUAUUUUCAAAAAUACCAUUAAGGUGACUCACUCCUUUCUCACGAGCCCUUCCAAAAUAUUUAUUGUUGAAUUUGUAAUGAAAUAAACAAAAAACAAACAAACAAACAAGCAAAUUUACAUAAAUAAUUUCUAUUUACAAAUAUUAAAUCAAAAGUUUAUAAAUAAAUAAAAGUUCAUUUACACAUUGAAAUAAAGUGCACAUAGUUCAUAAAUGUAUAAAUAUUUGUACAAAAUAUGACUUUAUUUAUUUUCUUUUUUUACAUUCCAAAUUCAUUUAGACACCUAUAAAUUUGUCAACUAAAUCUGGUUAUCAAAAGUUGUUUUGGCUGAGCCUACAAUGGUGCUAUCUCCAUAGAACAGGUCAUGGAAAACUAAUGAUCUCACUGACUACUUGUCAAACAACGAACUAGAAAAAUUAACAAUAAAGGCUAAAAGAAUCCACAUUUCAAAUGAUGGCAAUAAUUCAAAUCUAUUUACACAGGCAGAUUUACUAGAAGGCCUCCUAAUGACAUACAAAUCUACACAUUUAAAAUAAAAAAGGGAAAAUCUGAAAGCUUUAAGAAGUUAAACUCCCCCCCCCCCCCCCACC